rnacentral:rRNA from 1 species
CACCAGCGCCACGAGUAGGAACCACGUUUAUUGGGCCUAAAGCAUCCGUAGCCGGAUUGGUAAGUCUUUUGUGAAAUUGUUAGGCUUAACCUAACAGCGUGCAAAAGAUACUGCCUUUCUAGAGACUGGGAGGAGUUAGAGGUAUUCUGGGGGGAGCGGUAAAAUGCUAUAAUCCUCAGAGGACCACCUGUGGCGAAGGCGUCUAACUAGAACAGUUCUGACGGUGAGGGACGAAAGCUGGGGGAGCGAUCCGG